rnacentral:rRNA from 1 species
UCCGUAGGUGGAUAAUUAAGUCAGAGGUGAAAGUCUGCAGCUCAACUGUAGAAUUGCCUUUGAUACUGGUUAUCUUGAGUUAUUAUGAAGUAGUUAGAAUAUGUAGUGUAGCGGUGAAAUGCAUAGAUAUUACAUAGAAUACCAAUUGCGAAGGCAGAUUACUAAUAAUAUACUGACACUGAUGGACGAAAGCGUGGGGAGCGAACAGGAUUAGAUACCCUGGUAGUC